GGGUGCGGGCCGGCGGGG
rnacentral:miRNA from 1 species